AGUGAACGCUGGCGGUAGGCCUAACACAUGCAAGUCGAACGGCAACACAGUAAGAGCUUGCUCUUACGGGUGGCGACUGGCGGGCGGGUGAGGAAUACAUCGGCAUCUACUUUUUCGUGGGGGAUAACGUAGGGAAACAUACGCUAAUACCGCAUACGACCUAAGGGUGAAAGCAGGGGAUCUUCGGACCUUGCGCGUUUGAUUGAGCCGAUGCCGGAUUAGCUAGUUGGCGGGGUAAAGGCCCACCAAGGCGACGAUCCGUAGCUGGUCGGAGAGGAUGAUCGGCCACACUGGAACUUAGACACGGUCCAGACGCCUACGAGAGGCAGCAGUGGGGAAUAUUGGGCAACGGGCGCAGGCCUUAUCCAGCCAUACCGCGUGGGUGAAGAAGGCCUUCGGGUUGUAAAGCCCUUUUUUUGGGAAAGAAAAGCAGCAGGUUAAGACCCCGCUGUUCUGACGGUACCCAAAGAAUAAGCACCGGCUAACUUCGUG
rnacentral:rRNA from 1 species